AUACGGAGGUGGCGAGCGUUAUUCGGAAUCAUUGGGCGUAAAGGGCGCGUAGGCGGCCUGACAAGUCAGGGGUGAAAUCCCUCGGCUCAACCGAGGAACUGCCUCUGAAACUGUCAGGCUUGAGGCCGGGAGAGGGUAGUGGAAUUCCCAGUGUAGCGGUGAAAUGCGUAGAUAUUGGGAGGAACACCAGUGGCGAAGGCGGCUACCUGGACCGGUUCUGACGCUGAGGCGCGAAAGUGUGGGGAGCAAACAGGAUUAGAAACCCUAGUAGUCC
rnacentral:rRNA from 1 species